CAUUGGGAGUAGAGAGUGGUGGAGAGAAAGAGAGAAGGUCAGAGAGGUCAGUAAAGUCCAGACCAUGCACAGCUUCAGGUCAGGUGAAGAAUGGGAAGCUAUUGGCAGAUUUUAAGCAGGGGAAUGUCAUGAUCUAAUGUUUUCAAAAGACCACUCUAGCAGGAGUGUGGUGGAGUGAGAGUGGGUGUGGGAAGAGCAGUUAUAUGACCAUUUAAGCGAUCUUAGCAGACAUGAUGGCAGCUCUGCAAUGAAGACCAGGAGAUGAACACGGGAUACAUUUUGGAGUUGUAGCUGAUCGGGCAUACUGAUGGAUUAGAGGGGGGUAGCAGUAAGCAAGGGGUCUUUGAAGAGUUCACCCAGGAGCUUCAAAAUGAGGAACAGUGCUUGCAAUUUCCUUGAAUACUAAGAACAUCCAGCUAUUUGUAGACAGAUAAAAGAGAGCAGCCCCCAGAGGUGCUGAUCCAGCCAAGAUAGCUCAUCCAGUUCUCAACAGGACUAAAGGACUUAUCCUAUGCCUAGUUUUU
rnacentral:lncRNA from 10 species